CAAGGUCUUAUGUCAUGGUUGAGAAAUCAAUAGCAAAAAGCAAGUACUUCAGUAAACAGUAAGUCAAGAACAGCGUCUAAUUCUGCUCUGCAAAGUUCCCAGCACUCUAGAGGAAACCAGCUACUAUGAAGGCUUAUGAGAGACCCAUGUGAUAAAGAGCUGAAGCCUCCUACCGAAUAAGACCUGAGUGAGGUUGGAAGUGUGUACUGCAGCCCUGAAGCUGUCAGCUUGACUGCAACCUCAAGAGAGACCCUAAGCCAGAACCACCCAGCUAAGCUGCUCCAGAAUUUCCGACUUAAAGAAACUGUGUGAGAUGAUAAAUGUAUGCUUUAUAAGCUGCCACAUUUUGCAAAAAUUUGUUAAGCAAAUAUAUGACAACU
rnacentral:lncRNA from 1 species